rnacentral:rRNA from 1 species
CCUACGGGUGGCAGCAGUGGGGAAUAUUGCGCAAUGGGCGAAAGCCUGACGCAGCGACGCCGCGUGGGUGAUGAAGGCCUUCGGGUCGUAAAGCCCUGUCGAGGGGGACGAACCGGUUGCGACCGAAUACGUCGCAGCCCUGACGGUACCCCUAAAGGAAGCACCGGCUAACUCCGUGCCAGCAGCCGCGGUAAUACGGAGGGUGCGAGCGUUGUUCGGAAUCACUGGGCGUAAAGCGCGUGUAGGCGGCCUGCUAAGUCUGAUGUGAAAGCCCGAGGCUCACCCUCGGAAGUGCAUUGGAAACUGGCAGACUGGAGUCCCGGAGAGGAGGGUGGAAUUCCUGGUGUAGCGGUGAAAUGCGUAGAUAUCAGGAGGAACACCGGUGGCGAAGGCGGCCCUCUGGACGGUGACUGACGCUGAGACGCGAAAGCGUGGGGAGCAAACAGGAUUAGAUACCCUGGUAGUCC